rnacentral:rRNA from 1 species
CGCCUUGCCAGCCCGCUCAGAAACUUAAAGGAAUUGACGGGGCCCGCACAAGCGUGGAGCAUGUGGUUAAUUCGAAGCAACGCGAAGAACCUUACCAGGCCUUGACAUGCAGAGAACUUUCCAGAGAUGGAUUGGUGCCUUCGGGAACUCUGACACAGGUGCUGCAUGGCUGUCGUCAGCUCGUGUCGUGAGAUGUUGGGUUAAGUCCCGUAACGAGCGCAACCCUUGUCCUUAGUUACCAGCACGUUAUGGUGGGCACUCUAAGGAGACUGCCGGUGACAAACCGGAGGAAGGUGGGGGAUGACGUCAAGUCAUCAUGGCCCUUACGGCCUGGGCUACACACGUGCUACAAUGGUCGGUACAAAGGGUUGCCAAGCCGCGAGGUGGAGCUAAUCCCAUAAAACCGAUCGUAGUCCGGAUCGCAGUCUGCAACUCGACUGCGUGAAGUCGGAAUCGCUAGUAAUCGUGAAUCAGAAUGUCACGGUGAAUACGUUCCCGGGCCUU